GUCCCUGUAGCGCAAUGGGUAGCGCAUUGAAGUUCUAAUCCAAAGGUCGUGGGUUCGAAUCCUACCUGGGAUG
rnacentral:tRNA from 1 species